rnacentral:rRNA from 1 species
AGUGGCGAACGGGUGAGUAACACGUGAGCAACCUGCCCCUGACUCUGGGAUAAGCGCUGGAAACGGCGUCUAAUACUGGAUAUGUGACGUGACCGCAUGGUCUGCGUUUGGAAAGAUUUUUCGGUUGGGGAUGGGCUCGCGGCCUAUCAGCUUGUUGGUGAGGUAAUGGCUCACCAAGGCGUCGACGGGUAGCCGGCCUGAGAGGGUGACCGGCCACACUGGGACUGAGACACGGCCCAGACUCCUACGGGAGGCAGCAGUGGGGAAUAUUGCACAAUGGGCGAAAGCCUGAUGCAGCAACGCCGCGUGAGGGAUGACGGCCUUCGGGUUGUAAACCUCUUUUAGCAGGGAAGAAGCGAAAGUGACGGUACCUGCAGAAAAAGCGCCGGCUAACUACGUGCCAGCAGCCGCGGUAAUACGUAGGGCGCAAGCGUUAUCCGGAAUUAUUGGGCGUAAAGAGCUCGUAGGCGGUUUGUCGCGUCUGCUGUGAAAUCCCGAGGCUCAACCUCGGGCCUGCAGUGGGUACGGGCAGACUAGAGUGCGGUAGGGGAGAUUGGAAUUCCUGGUGUAGCGGUGGAAUGCGCAGAUAUCAGGAGGAACACCGAUGGCGAAGGCAGAUCUCUGGGCCGUAACUGACGCUGAGGAGCGAAAGGGUGGGGAGCAAACAGGCUUAGAUACCCUGGUAGUCCACCCCGUAAACGUUGGGAACUAGUUGUGGGGUCCAUUCCACGGAUUCCGUGACGCAGCUAACGCAUUAAGUUCCCCGCCUGGGGAGUACGGCCGCAAGGCUAAAACUCAAAGGAAUUGACGGGGACCCGCACAAGCGGCGGAGCAUGCGGAUUAAUUCGAUGCAACGCGAAGAACCUUACCAAGGCUUGACAUAUACGAGAACGGGCCAGAAAUGGUCAACUCUUUGGACACUCGUAAACAGGUGGUGCAUGGUUGUCGUCAGCUCGUGUCGUGAGAUGUUGGGUUAAGUCCCGCAACGAGCGCAACCCUCGUUCUAUGUUGCCAGCACGUAAUGGUGGGAACUCAUGGGAUACUGCCGGGGUCAACUCGGAGGAAGGUGGGGAUGACGUCAAAUCAUCAUGCCCCUUAUGUCUUGGGCUUCACGCAUGCUACAAUGGCCGGUACAAAGGGCUGCAAUACCGUGAGGUGGAGCGAAUCCCAAAAAGCCGGUCCCAGUUCGGAUUGAGGUCUGCAACUCGACCUCAUGAAGUCGGAGUCGCUAGUAAUCGCAGAUCAGCAACGCUGCGGUGAAUACGUUCCCGGGUCUUGUACACACCGCCCGUCAAGUCAUGAAAGUCGGUAACACCUGAAGCCGGUG